ensembl:lncRNA
AUGAGUACUACAUUCUUUGACAAUUAUAUGGCAGCUGAAGAAGUAGGGGCAUUGAGGAAUGAAGGAUACCUCCAAAUUUUUAUAUUAAUAGGUACUGUCAUUUUUGUACUCCUCAAUACUAUAUUUAGAGAUGAAAAAAUAAAAAAUAUUGAGGAUAAAAUAAAACAAAAUGAGGAUAAAAUAAAACAAAAUGAGGAUAAAAUAAAACAAAAUGAGGAUAAAAUAAAACAAAAUGAGGAUAAAAUAGAAAAUAUUGAGGAUAAAAUAGAAAAUGUUGAGGAUAAAAUAGAAAAAAAUGAGGAUAAAAUAGAAAAUAUUGAGGAUAAAAUAGAAAAUAUUGAGGAUAAAAUAGAAAAAAUUGAGGAUACAAUAGAAAAAAUUGAGGAUACAAUAGAAAAAAUUGAGGAUAAAAUAGGAAAUAUUGAGAAUAAAAUAGAAAAACUUGAGGAUAAAAUAGGAAAUAUUGAGAAUAAAAUAGGAAAUAUUGAGGAUAAAAUGGGAGAUAUGGAAGAUAAAAUAGGAAAAAUUGAGGAUAAAAUGCAAGCCCAAUUAGAAGAUCUAAAAUGUUUCUUACAGGAUCAAUGGGCAAACACCCACUCUACCAGAAACAGACCUGUUUCUGAACCUUUGAAUGAGGAAAUUUCCUUCCCUGAAAUAGAGAUGGAAAACACCUUCCCUAUAGCCCAGUUAACAGACUGCUUCUCUCGUGCAGUGCAAAUCUUGUCUGAAUUUAAUCCCCAAAACCCUUCCCCUGCAAUCCCAGCUUCUCAUGUUCCUUCUCCUACAGAAAACCAAAUUCCAAUGCAAGGGAGAUCUUGUCCUCCUAGAGAAACCUGUCCUUGUCAAACUGACCCACAGGUGCAAAAUUCAACUAGAGGCCUGUUUCCUCUAAGAGAAGUACCUGAAAUAGGACGAAAUGGGGAUGUGGUGACUUUAAGACAUAGGAUACCGUUUACUCCCCAAGAAAUAAAUGAAUUUACACGAAAUAUCCCCACAUAUGAACAAGAUCCUUUUCUAGUAACAAAAAAGAUAGGAGACAUAUUUUUUCAAUAUAAUCCGUCUUACAAGGACGUUGAGAGCUUACUACAGGCUUUUUUAAGUGAACGUGAAAAAAAUAAAAUAAUUGCUCAUGUCAACAAAACCCGGGGGCGUAAUGCAGCACAUUGGCCAUCUCAGGAUCCUGAAUGGGACUAUAAUAAUCCUGAGGACUAUCUACAACUAUACCGUUGUAGAGAGGCCAUCCUCACGGCCAUGAAGGAAUGUGCGGACAGUACAGAUAAGUGGAUGGAACUGGAAAAAAUUAAGCAAAAGGAAAACGAAACACCCUCCAGAUUUAUGGACAGAAUUAUCGAGUUUGGGGACAGAUACUUAGAUUGGGACUUAAAUAAAGAGAAUAGUUUAAGACAAGUUAGAAGAAUCUUUGUAAAUAAUUGUUGCAAAGUAAUUAAAAAUUAUUUUAAAACACAAUGCCCAAGAUGGUCAGAUAUGGACCUUGAAGAAUUGCGAAAAACAGCUAUAUAUGUUUUUAAGGGAAACGAAGAAAAGGAGAAAGAGAAUAAUGAUGACAUGGAGGAAAUGAAGAAAAAAAUGAGAUGUGUAAUAGAUAGGAUAACUAAAUUAGAAAGUGGGCAUGAUAAUGAACCAACGACAAUUGCCCCUCUCCAGAAAUCCAAUUAUCAAUCCAUUACUUGCCACUUCUGUGAGAAGAAGGGCCACAAAAUGAUGGAAUGUAGAACCUUUCUUAAGAUGUUUGGAAGGAAUACACAGUUUAAUAAUGGUUUUAGAAAUAAUAACUAUAGAAAUUAUGAUAAUGGUUAUAGAAACCAGAAUUCUAGAAAUUAUAAUAAUGACUAUGGAAAUAACUAUAAUGAAUAUAGAAAUAAGAACUUUAGAAACCAGAAUUAUAGAAAUAGGAAUUGGGAAUUUAAUGACAAUGCUCAAAUUGAAGAAAAUUUUAAUGAUAAUACUCAACAAUAUAUGAGAAAUGGCGCUCGUCCAAAAAUUACUCGAGGUACUAAUGAUCCUCAGAGAGGUGCCCUUCAGGAGGGUGCCCAGGGAACUUCCCAGUAUAAUAAAGAUGAUUCUUCUUAG